CACUUCCUCCCCUCGAUGUCCUUGACGGGAUCAAUGAGCCGAUGAUCCUUGAAAACAGGGUUGCUGGCAUGAGGCUGGAGGUGGCCCUGACAGUAUGAGGCCAUACAAACCACACAAGACUUGACGGCCUCCAGCUUCUGCAUUCUAGACUGACUCACAAUCUGUGGAUGCUUAUGGAAGGCAAGUGCUAAGGAAAAGCACAAGAAGCUGGAUAUAUGAAAUGAAAACAAAAGUACUCGAAAAACUCAGCAUCUGCAGUUGAUGAGAAUGUUAAUGUUUACGGUCGUGGACUUUUUAUCAGAAUGUAUGUCUUUGUCAAAGGCAUGCAUGAAGG